CACGUAGGGCGCAAGCGUUGUCCGGAAUUAUUGGGCGUAAAGAGCUCGUAGGCGGUCUGUUACGUCUGCUGUGAAAACCCGGGGCUUAACCCUGGGCUUGCAGUGGAUACGGGCAGACUAGAGGCAGGUAGGGGAGAAUGGAAUUCCCGGUGUAGCGGUGAAAUGCGCAGAUAUCGGGAGGAACACCGGUGGCGAAGGCGGUUCUCUGGGCCUGACCUGACGCUCAUGCACGAAAGCGUGGGGAGCAAACAGG
rnacentral:rRNA from 1 species